rnacentral:rRNA from 1 species
UCCAGUGACGAUAGCAUGGCGCCAGUUCAGGAUGGAUCACUGAAGCUACGUUGCGCGUGGUUGGUGUUCGGAUGGGUGACCAUCUGGGAAACCGCGUGCAGCUGGCU